GAUGAGCGCUAGCGGCAGGCUUAAUACAUGCAAGUCGAGGGGCAUCAAGGUACACGAAAGUGUAUUGUUGGCGACCGGCGGACGGGUGAGUAAUAGGUAGGUAACCUACCUCAUACUGAGGCAUAGCUGGGAGAAAUUCCAGGUAAUUCCUCAUGAGGUUAUAUGACACAUGUGAUAUAAUCAAAGGUAUCGCAAGGUACUGGUAUGAGAUGGGCUUACUGACCAUUAGCUAGUUGGUGAGAUAAGAGCUCACCAAGGCGAAGAUGGUUAGGGGUUUUGAGAGAGAGAUCCCCCACAUUGGAACUGAGAUACGGUCCAGACUCCUACGGGAGGCAGCAGUAGGGAAUAUUGGGCAAUGGGCGGAAGCCUGACCCAGCCAUGCCGCGUGAAGGAAGACGGCCUUAUGGGUUGUAAACUUCUUUACUAUGCGACUAACUAGAUUUACGAGAUAAUUCUAUAGAAUGUAGCAUAGCAAAAGCACC
rnacentral:rRNA from 1 species